rnacentral:tRNA from 1 species
GGAAAGAUGGCAGAGUGGUUUAAUGCAACGGUCUUGAAAACCGUCGAGUCGCAAGGCUCCGUGGGUUCGACUCCCACUCUUUCCGCCA